UACAGAGGUGGCAAGCGUUGUUCGGAUUUACUGGGCGUAAAGGGUGCGUAGGCGGUUCUGUGUGUCGGAUGUGAAAGCCCACGGAUCAUCUGUGGAAUGGCAUUCGAAACUGCAGGGCUGGAGUGCAGGAGAGGAUGGCGGAAUUCUCGGUGUAGCGGUGAAAUGCGUUGAUAUCGAGAGGAACGCCGGAGGCGAAGGCGGCCAUCUGGACUGCAACUGACGCUGAGGCACGAAAGUCAGGGGAGCAAAC
rnacentral:rRNA from 1 species